GCAGUGUUUCGCCAAAAAUUGUUUUGUCCUAUGGUCCGUGAAUGCACCGCAGCGCCACACACGGCACUUCACUGAAGCAGAGCGAGAGAAGUUUUUUACACAUGCUCCCGGAGCCGAGCAGGCUAAGCGGCUCUGAUUAACGCGAUUUUGAGGAGAUGUGAAAUGAGUUGGUAGACAACUGCGGGCUUCGAGUGAACUUUUUGUUUUUUUCUUCGAAUAUCCUGGCUGGUUUUUUUGUUGGACUCUCUUCUAAGGACAGAGCUGUGCUGUGCCUGGAUCUGGUAGCAGCCUGAGAUGUCUUCACUGGACGUGUUAAACUUCCAUGGCCACCUCGUCCCAGGAGGGUGGUAGAACCUAGGAGGAUUUCCCUUGGUUUCGUGAGGAUCUACCCCUUUUUUUUUUUGUAUUUUUUUUUAUCUGAGAUCUCAGAAUAUUUUUCUUUGGGGUCAGGCCUGACAAAUAUAAAAUAAACUUGAUGCAUCAAACUAAAACCUAGCUGAACAGUUAACUAGCCUUGAACACUAAAUGUGAAAUACCGAACACAAUGUGCAUUUAACUGGAAAGGACAGUAGUAAAAGUGCACGUGUCAACUUAAAGGUACAGUACUGGAACUUAACAAUGACGGUUGACUGAAGUUAUAACUGAACUAAUUGAACUAUUUGAACCAUU